AUGCCAUGGAAAUUCAACGGAUGUUAUGCCCUUUUCGUAAUAGAUCAUGUUAAAAAGCAUGUGACUUUUAUCGACUUUACACCGACUCAAGAUUGGUGUAAACACAUGCCAUACAAGAGGUUUGCGGAAGCGAUUAUCAUGGCCUCAAAGAAAUAUAAGAUUGCUUACAGCAAGAAACGUUCUGGAUGGGCGGAGGAUAUCUUUAAGUGGGAACAUACAAUUCAGACUGAUGUUCCAAUUGAUUUAAGAGGGUUUAAUACCAGCUACCUCGUUCUACAAGCUAUGGCCAUGUGGGGGAAUGACAGACGAAUGAAAUUUGUUGGGGAUGCAAAGAUUGUUCGAAGGAACUUUGUGAUUGAUCUGUUAAGUUAUGAGGAUAAUUCGUGCCGAUAUGUCAUCCCUGCAAACAUACAACAGAGACUUAUCGAUAUCGCUAAAAAGGAUUAGCUGAUUAGUGUGAUAUUGAUAAUGUUUGACACACGGAUUUUGCAUAUUAUAGUGAUAUUUAUCGUUCCGUAUUAAUGUUUCAUACAAAUCUUUUACUUCUGUCGCAACGCACGGGCACAUAUCUUAAAGACUAUCUUAUUCGGUUCCGUUGCAACGCACGGGCACCCUACUAGUAUAUAUAUAUAGUUAUAGUAUUAGGAGCCCUGGGCUCUCUUUAGUUGGAGAAAGCCCUGACCGCUCACUCGUCAGUCGUCAUCCAAUAUUGUCAGUAACCUUUUACGCUUUGUUGUACAUAAGUUUAUGCUUAUUUCGUCAUAACAUCAUCAUAUAAAACCGUCUACUCUAUCCAACCUUUCCCGACGGCUGCUGUGUGCGAGAUAACUAGGGUUUCAGCGGCAGCGGUUGCAAGAGACGUGAGCAUGGAUGCAGAUGUGGGCGACCCUGGCACCGACCGCCUCAUCGGCUUUGCCUCCACCCACGCCGCCACCGCCGAGCCGGCCACUCCCUGAUCCAAACCACAACCCCGCCAGAUCCAGAUCCACCCAGUUCAGCGCAGCCGCUGCUAUCAGAUCUCAUAGCAGAAUAUUGGCCCUCGAUGGAGCUUGCCGCGACCAACGCGGUGUACGGGCUUCCGAGCCCGCCGCCCCCAGCGGUGUUGGCGAUGUCGCGCCCUCGCCACCUCUAGGUAUGGCGAUCGUGUAGGGGCAGGCGCUGGCGAAGCUCGCCUAGUGCUGCCGUGAGCUGGAGGAGGGGCGGCACACCAGCGGGAGGCGACAUGGCGGCUGAAGCGCGUGGAGCAGCAGCUGUAGAUGGAGCGCGAGAUGCGGCGGCGUGAGGUGGAGAAGAACGGGGACCGGACCGGAGCUCUUCAACGAAACUGAUGGGGCAACUCCAUCCGUCCACACGCGUGAUGGCUGGGGUCGUUAGCUGCUGAUUACUGUCCAUGAUGGUUAAAAGUGAGAACACAUCUUAAUCAACACCUCGAAUCACCGGCCCACCCUCUUGAUGGAAGAGUUACCGAUUUGGUAGUUAUUAUCUCAAAAUAGUUCACUGUUUCUAGCGCAAUCUAGUUUUGUGAGAACACAUCUUAAUCCAUUCAUUUAUUAGGAUAUCCAUUUUGGUUUAAUUUGAUCGAUUCUUGAACAUAAUGUUUCUUCUGUUGUAUCAUGAUGUUCAGCCAUAUACCAUGUUCAUUGUUCUUACCAUUUGGCUUUCAUUUUCAUCACUGUCCAUUAUAUUGGUAUCAUGAAAUCUCUAUAAAACAUAUUAGCUCAUUUGGAUUAGAACUAGAACACUAGAAUUUUUUCUAUCCAGAUUAUUAAAAUUCAUAGGAUCAACCUUAGCUUGGUCGCUUAUUUAUCUUCUAUAGUUUGUCCAUACAUUUUUGUUAGAGAGGAUAUCAAUAUAUCUGAGGAGUGAUUGUGUGUCUAUAAUAUUUGAAUCCCUAGUUAAAGUAUCGAUGGAUUUAUUAUUGAAAUCUGUGAAUUUUUUAUUUAGGUCGUUCUGUGAGCAACUCUUGGUAUAAUUGGUUGCAAUGGCGAUAUCACAAGCUCUUCAUGGAUAUGUGACGAUGGUUCGGGUUACAGGUCUUCCCGUUACUCAUCAAGAAGUUUUCACACGAAGAGCAAGCAAAUUUAGUAUGGCAGUUCUUAUGUAGCAUCCCUGUAAACAUGAUGGCAAAAUUUCUUCCAUGGAUUUCUGCUUCUGUUUCUACAGAUGAGAAUCAAGAUAUUCUUGACUGCCUAAGUAAAAUAGUUCCUGAAGAAAAACUCCUCCAAGAGGUUGUUUUCGCGUGGUUUGGAGGGAAAUCAGAAAGCAGUUCUACAUGUGAGUCUAGCUCUGGUCAAUGUGACGUUUUUUUGCUACAGUGGUGUUAUGGUGAAACAGAGUUUUGUGUGUAUGUACCAACAGCUAAAAUGUAAAUACGAUAUUAUCAUAGUUGAGUACAGGAAUAAUUAUCUCAUAUCUUAUUGCAAAA